UACGUAGGGGGCAAGCGUUGUCCGGAAUCAUUGGGCGUAAAGAGCGCGUAGGCGGCCCGGUAAGUCCGCUGUGAAAGUCCAGGGCUCAACCCUGGGAUGCCGGUGGAUACUGUCGGGCUCGAGUCCGGAAGAGGAGUGUGGAAUUCCUGGUGUAGCGGUGAAAUGCGCAGAUAUCAAGAGGAACACCUGAGGCGAAGGCGGGUUGCUAGGCUGACACUGACGCUGACAGCGCGAAAGCCAGGGGAGCAAACGGG
rnacentral:rRNA from 1 species